CCUACGGGGGGCAGCAGUGAGGAAUAUUGGUCAAUGGACGAGAGUCUGAACCAGCCAAGUAGCGUGAAGGAUGACUGCCCUAUGGGUUGUAAACUUCUUUUAUAUGGGAAUAAAAUGUUCCACGUGUGGGAUUUUGUAUGUACCAUAUGAAUAAGGAUCGGCUAACUCCGUGCCAGCAGCCGCGGUAAUACGGAGGAUCCGAGCGUUAUCCGGAUUUAUUGGGUUUAAAGGGAGCGUAGGUGGAUUGUUAAGUCAGUUGUGAAAGUUUGCGGCUCAACCGUAAAAUUGCAGUUGAAACUGGCAGUCUUGAGUACAGUAGAGGUGAGCGGAAUGCGUGGUGUAGCGGUGAAAUGCUUAGAUAUCACGAAGAACUCCGAUUGCGAAGGCAGUUCACUGGACUGCAACUGACACUGAGGCUCGAAAGUGUGGGUAUCAAACAGGAUUAGAUACCCGUGUAGUC
rnacentral:rRNA from 1 species